GGUUCCGUAGCUCAGCUGGAUAGAGCAGCUGACUUCUAAUCAGCAGGCCGCAGGUUCGAAUCCUGCCGGGAUCA
rnacentral:tRNA from 1 species